GAUGAACGCUGGCGGUAUGCCUAACACAUGCAAGUCGUACGAGAGUUUUCGGACUCUAGCGGCGGACGGGUGAGUAACGCGUGAGAAUUUGCCUUUAGGAGGGGGAUAACAAUUGGAAACGAAUGCUAAUACCCCAUAUGCUUUCGAGUGAAACGGAUUUAUCCGCCUAAAGAGAAGCUCGCGGCUGAUUAGCUUGUUGGUAAGGUAAGAGCUUACCAAGGCGACGAUCAGUAUCAGGUUUGAGAGGACGAUCGGACACACUGGAACUGAGACACGGUCCAGACUCCUACGGGAGGCAGCAGUGGGGAAUUUUCCGCAAUGGGCGAAAGCCUGACGGAGCAAUACCGCGUGAGGGAUGACUGCCUAUGGGUUGUAAACCUCUUUUUUCAGGGAGGAAUAAAUGACGUGUACCUGAAGAAUAAGCAUCGGCUAACUCCGUGCCAGCAGCCGCGGCAAGACGGAGGAUGCAAGUGUUAUCCGGAAUCACUGGGCGUAAAGCGUCUGUAGGUGGCUUAAUAAGUCAACUGUUAAAUCUUGAGGCUCAACUUCGAAAUCGCAGUCGAAACUAUUAGGCUAGAGUAUAGUAGAGGUAAAGGGAAU
rnacentral:rRNA from 1 species